rnacentral:piRNA from 1 species
GCUCGUUUGUCCCACUAGACCAGGCCU